rnacentral:rRNA from 1 species
UACGAAGGGGGCUAGCGUUGUUCGGAAUUACUGGGCGUAAAGCGCACGUAGGCGGCUUUGUUAGUCAGGGGUGAAAUCCCGGGGCUCAACCUCGGAACUGCCUUUGAUACUGCAAAUCUCGAGUCCGAUAGAGGUGGGUGGAAUUCCUAGUGUAGAGGUGAAAUUCGUAGAUAUUAGGAAGAACACCGGUGGCGAAGGCGGCCCACUGGAUCGGUACUGACGCUGAGGUGCGAAAGCGUGGGGAGCAAACAGG